AACGCACAUUGCGCCCUUUGGUAUUCCGAAGGGCAUGCCUGUUCGAGCGUCAUUAUCACCCCUCAAGCCUGGCUUGCUGUUGGUGGCCGGCGCGAGGCCCCCCUCGGGGUGGCCCGCGCCCCGCCCAAAGAUAAUGACGGCGUCCGCGAGGACUCCUGUACACUGAGCUUUCGGGCACGUACACGGUCAGCACUCCGGGCGCCGGUCGCCGUCUGCCGUCAUGGCGGACAACUUUUAUACCAAAGUUGACCUCGGAUCAGGUAGGGAUACCCGCUGAACUUAA
rnacentral:misc_RNA from 1 species